GAUGAAGAACGUAGCGAAAUGCGAUACUUGGUGUGAAUUGCAGAAUCCCGUGAACCAUCGAGUCUUUGAACGCAAGUUGCGCCCUCUGGUAUUCCGGGGGGCAUGCCUGUCCGAGCGUCAUUUGCAACCCUCAAGCCCGGCUUGUGUGAUGGGUGCCGUCCCCUACGGGACGCGCCCGAAGGCAAUGGCGGCGUCGCGGUUAUCCGAUCAGCCAAAGUGUAUGGGGCUUUGUCACUCACUUUACGGCCCGGACCGGCGCCAGUCCGAAUCAAUCUUUUUUCUAAAGUUGACCUCGGAUCAGGUAGGGAUACCCGCUGAACUUAAGCAUAUCAAUAAGCGGAGGA
rnacentral:misc_RNA from 1 species